rnacentral:tRNA from 1 species
GGGUUGAUAGCUCAGUGGUAGAGCAUUCGGCUUUUAACCGACUGGCCGAGGGUUCAAGUCCCUCUCAACCCA